AGGGAUGAACUUUUGAACCAGUUCCUUCAAAUCACAAGAUGUUGCCUGGGCAGUCAUUAUUUCCCUCAUCUUUCGGCGUAUCUGAAAAACAUUAAUUUCACUUGGUCAUCAUGGGAUUGACAAAUUCACAAAAAACACACAAACACUGCAAACAGUCACAAGUACCGGGGUAGUUUACCUGUCUAAUCUGGCUGGACUGAGCGUAACAAGUCCUUUUAACCUGGUUUGGGCGUCUCUUAGUGAAUCCAAUGCAGAACAUUCUCAAAGUGUAAUUGUCAGUUGUCUUCACGUCAACAUGAGCUUCAAUCAGGGUUUGCCAUUUACGCACCAAAGACCUCAGUUUGUCAGUUGUAAAAUUCAUUCCCUGGAAAUUUGAAAAAGGAAAACCGAUCAAAAUUUUUAAACUUCUAUUGCUAAAAAAGCAGGGAUAAUAUAGUAAAUAAAGGAAGUUUAUAUUAAUCAUACCCAGAAGUUGGUCAAAACAUUUUUUCCUUGAACCUCUUCAGCUCUCAAACGAAUCUUUCUGUAAGCAUGAUCCUCAUCACCACCUUGAAGAUCAGCCAGGGAAACCUCAAACACACGGUGUUUGAGUCCUUCAGAAGCAAUCUGUCGAUGAAAUAACCAAGUUCAAACCACAUACAUAUAACUCAAACAGUAACUAUAAGUUAAAUAUACAGAGCAGAUCUAAGUUCAUUGUGCUGUUUCUAUGCGGAAACUUAUAUAUCAAGAACACACAUCCACAGCAUACCAUAAGUACAAGAAAGUCAUAAAGGUGAUUAAUGGUCUAAAUAACCGAAGCUGACCAAGAAUGCCAAUGUAAGACCAAAACAAGUAAACAAAUAAUAAAUUACAAGUUUCUCAAAUAAGUCCACUUCAAUUGUUGCAUCCUUCUCAAAGAAGCAACCAUGAAGUGCAGAGUCAAAAUGAAUUUAUAGUUUGAUAACAGAUACAAAAUUUACUCACUCAAUUGAGAACCUUACGCGUUCAGUAGCCAAUUUUCUUAACACAAGAUAUUGGUAUUUCAAAAGAAAUGGUAAAUCAGCACUUCAAAUAACAAAAAUAACAUCAUUUUCAUGCAAAAACAACCAGCAAUACAAGCCAGGGAUUUAAACUGUGGUCGCGGCUACAUUUUCGGUUUCGGCAAUAGAGGUUUCCGACAGUGCCUAUACCGGUAUCGGACCGCUAUUUAAAUCCCUGAUACAAGCAAGGCUCAGCUCAAAACUACAGUUCCCAUUUUAUAGUUCAAACCAGAAAAUACCAUGAAAAGACAAUAGCAUUAAACUUACAUAUUAACUUCCAAUAAACGCUAAGAAAAGGUCAAAGCUUUGGCAAUGGAAUGUACAAAGAAUAUAAACGAAACCCAAUUUCCUCGAAGGUUGAAAGAAUACAAUACAAUGCAAAUAUUUUCGAAAAAUAAAAUAAAUAAUUUUAUAAAAGAAAACAAACCUUGGUACCCUGAGUACGGGUGACGAGAGUUUUUCCCACAUUUCUGGUAGUGAAAACUGAAGGAGCCUUGAUAUCGUACCAAUCCUUCUUAGCAAAAGGAUCCGCUCUAAACAAAAAAAUAUCAAACAUUUAACGACCAGAUCUGUUAGUAAAAUACCCAAAGCGCGAUUAAAGCUAAAAAUUAGAUCGAUAAAGACCCAGAAAACAAAAAAAAAAAAACAGUACUCACGCCUUCUUCUUUCCUCCCUUCUUUCCCUUGGAAAUCCUCUUGUUCUUCCUACAUUACAAAAAGAAAGACCCAGAAAUAGAUCAGGUUUAAUAAAAAGAAAGAAAGCCCAUUUGAAGAACAAGAAAGAUGAAGGAAAAGGAAAUGAGUACCCGACGGCCAUGCUUCGCAAACUUUGCUUUGCUACAAAGAACGGAGCAGUCGGCACCUAAUUAGUUUUUAUAAGUGUUGGAGUGGGGAGGGAAUAGAAAACCCUAAUUUUAGUUGCUUAUAUAUGGAUGCUUGGCUCUCUCAAGCUGUACUUAUUUUCAACUGUUUGAGAAUCCCGGUUUCGUUAUCCGGCCCGGCCCAAUUAGAAUUCUAUUAAUAUAAAGGUUAAAUUCUGUUGUUAGUCCCUGUACUCUUUGUAAAUUUAAAAUUUAGUCCUGUACUUUUAUUUCUAAGAAUUUAAUACCUCAUAUUGUUAACACCAUCAUAUUUCUUUUUUAAUCAUUUUAAAAGUUCGAAAGAGAUGAACAUAAAGUAGAGUAAAAUGUUUAGGCACAUUGCAUUGAAAAGCAAAAAAUGAGAGUAAAGUUCCAGCUUUUGAGCAAACCAUGAAGCUUUUUUGUAUUCUAUUUAAGAACAUACUGACUUAUAUUUUAAUAUAAAUAAAUGUAUAUAAAUACAAUCUUUCAAAUACAUAAAAUAAAAAACUUAAUUGUAACAGGCUAAUUUAGCACAGGCCCAAUUUACAAAUAAAUAAAAAAAUAAAUUAUUACAGACCCAAAAUAAAAAUCACAAAUAACCCAAAAUGAAUAAAAACCUAAUGGCCCAAACGGGCCACUAUCUUAAGCUAGCAAGAAACCCUAGCUCACCCUAAGUUAUCAGCGUCGUUGCCCUCCAAAUUAAUGGGCACGCCGCCAGAGGCCUAACGCUCAUCUGCCGCCGUUCACCAAAAUGGCAAGGGCAUGUUUUUUGCCCCGUUGUUGACUCUCCAAAGAUACCUGCAAAAUAAUAAAAAAAAUGACAGAGAUCGCGCGCAAGCAACGGACGCAAAACAAUAAUAGAAACAGCAACAUAAAAUACUAAACAAUGUUGUAAAUCGGCUAUAAAAGCCACCACAAUUAAUGUAAUAUUCUAGACACGAAAAAAAAAAGAGUAAUCGAAAACAAAAUUCAAAAAUCCAAAAGGUGAUUUUUUUUAUAUAUUUUCAUUCUUUAUCUUUUAUUUUCGAAAAAAUAUAUAUAAAUAUAAUAAAAAUGAAACCUAUUUACUUAUAUCGCCGUUUUCUCCUUUCAUUUGGAAGACCGACGGAAUCUCGAGGUUUGUCGAAUGGUCACGACAGGAGAAGACAGAAUUGAAGGGUUACUUUGAUUUUUUUUUGAAUUUUGGUGGGCUUUUUGGGCAUUUUGGUCUUACAUCGGGGUAGAGGGUAGUAAAACGAUCAAAAAUACCCCUUUUUUCUUUUGUCGGCCACCGUAGACGGCGAAGCCGUCAUCGGCGACCGGCGACCGGCGACCAUCACGAAGGCUUGCCGGACCAUUAGCUGGUCUUAGUGUCUGUUGCAGAGAAAAAAAAAUGGGGUUUUGGAUUUUUUUUAUUUAUGGGUUGAAAUGAUUUUUUUUUAAAUUUAACGUAAAUAGCCAUAGCGAAACGACGCUGUUUCGGAGGAAUCCAGAAGGCCCAAAACGACGUUCUUUAGGGGCCAAACCCGAAAUCUGACUUGAUCCUUUAAUAGGAUCCGCAUGUUUUUGAAAAAUAGCUUAUUUCUGCUUUUGGUGCUUCCACUUUUUAAUGACAUUUCAAUGCAGUCCUAUUUCUUUAUUCUCUUUUUUAAUUUUUACCAUGUAAUUUCAUUUUUCUUUCAUUUUGGUCCCUAUGAAACGGUGUGUUUAAGGAGUUUGGGAUAAUUACAUAUUUAGUCUCUAUUCUUUUAUGCACGUUUCAUUUUAAUCCUUUAUUCUGUUUUAUUAUUUUUUUAUUUCAUUCCCCUAAUUUCAUUCUGAUUUCGAUUUAAUCCUUAGUCUAUUUAAUCUCAACCUUUCCACAAAAUUUAUUUUAUUUUAUUUAUUUAUUUAUUUACUAUUAUUUCUUUAUUCUUUUACACUAAAAAAUAGAUUAUUCAUACCCCUUUAUUUGUGCAUUUUCAUUAUUAUAGUUAUUAUUUUAUUUUUAAAUUUUUUAUUAUUCUCGUUAUUUUAUUAUUUCUUUUAUUAUUUUUCAGCAUUUUCAUGUCAUGUUUAUUUAUCAUUCUUUAAUCAUACAUUUUUCAUUUUAUUUUAAUUUAACUUGUUUAUUUUAUCAUUAUUAUAAUCAGAUUAUUAUUGUUAUUAUAGUAUUCAUUUAUUUACUUAUUAUUUAUCAUUCUACCCACAUGACCAUUUUGAAUUAUUUAAUUGUCACUAUAUCACACAUUAGGUUUAAGCAUUUAUCCAUUUGUAUAUUAUGUCCAAAUAAAUCAAAUGCAUGUCGUUCUAAGUGUUACGUUUGUUUUUUCGCACGAUGCAUAAAAAAGAAAAUUUUCAAACCAAGGCAAAUGUUCAUUAUUUUUGGAAUUAGAAGAGUCGUGUUCCUAACUUACGGAAUACGACUUUUUUCUAAAACCAAAAUAGUCGAAUAUCCAUUUCAAAAAUAUAAGAACGAGAUGCAAGUAAUGAUCAAAUGGCAUUUAUUCUUGAUUUCGAGAAUUUAAGGCAUUUUGUCCUAACUUACGAGACAUGAUCCUUCUUUCUCAAUUAACUUAAAAUAAGCCUUUUUUUGCAAAAAUUAAUUUAGUAAUACCACAAUAAAAAAAAGGAUCGUGUUUUAAACUCCCUUAAAAUUUUUAAUUUUCGACACUAAGACAUCAAGUAAUCAACUAUGUACGAAUUUUGGACGUCGCGAGGGUGCUAAUCCUUCCUCGUGCGUAACCGACUCCUGAACCCAUUUCCUAAAUUUUGUAGACUGAAAAAAAUUGUUUUAAUAAAUCAAACAUCUCAUUAAAACGAUCAAAUUACGAGGUGACCCGAUCACACCUCCUAAAAGUGAUUGGUAACGACUCUCAUUAUCAUUUUUUAAAAUAAAUUUCAAUUUAAAAAAAAAGUUUCGACAGCUUGAUGACUCCAUUGAGGACCAAAUAAGAGAGUCAAGCCGCGAGUUGGUUACUUUUAGUCUUUUUGUCAAAAAUUGAUGAUUUGAUAUAAAUUUACAAUCCCUUCUUUGCAUUUCAUCCUUCAUGUUUUGAUAUAUCGAGUUGUAUAGCGAUCUAGUAUAUCUGUUUUUAUUGGUUCAAAAGUUUCUUUUUAUGUGUUUUCCUCUUAUUACAUUGCAUAAUCGUUUAAUUUUGCCCUUCUUAAGUGGGAUUGAGAAGCUAUUCCUUCGUGAGGUCUUCACCUCCGUAUAAGAUAGUGGAUCACUUUCAGGAUACAUUCGUACCUAUGUCUUUGUAAGAUCUUCAUCUCCGUAUAGCCAUAGGGAAAUGUAUUAUCCUAAACCAAACUCGGUCUGUAUAAUUCUAUAAUGGGUGAGGAUACCCUUACUUUAGAAUUGAACCACAUAAAAUGAGUCCUAAAAGCCUACCCUAAAUAGAACCAUAUCGAACCUCUAGUGGUCAUCCGAUUAGGUGUUCUAUUUCUCAUUUCUUAACCAUAUCGAACCUCUAGUGGUCAUCCGAUUAGGUGUUCUAUUUCUCAUUUCUUACUUUGAAUUCUAGAUUUAUAUGAAAUGUACUGACUUAUUUAAUUUUGUUUUGGUUGUGAUUGCAUUGUAUUUUCAUUAUAGAAAAAGUGUUGAUUCACAUUCAGUGCUAAACAGAUAACUUGUCAUGGAAAAUGGAUUUCUUAAUAAAGUGUAAGACAAUACGACCAUCCGGAUAUGGUUUGAGAAGAUACAACAAAAGAAGGGUGACAGCCUGAUGGAGGGAUUGUGGGAUUUCACCCGCAUCAAUGUGACUCAGAAUAAUCUCCUAGAGUUGAAAGAGUUGUCGGACCAAUGGGAUGAUGAAACCAAGCAGCUAUUCUACUGUAACUAUAGUGAUCUGCAUUAUUUACUCGAUUUCAAGGAGGAUAAACACUUGUUUCGAGCUCUGGCUCAAUAUUGGAAUCCCGCCUACAGCUGCUUCACUUUUAGAAAUGUAGAUUUGGUGCCUACGAUAGAGGAGUACACAACUUUGCUUUGUUGCCCGAGGAUUCAAGCCGACAAAACUCAUUCUAAAGCCCCCAACAUCCUGACUUUCUUAAAGAAGUUAAUGAGCAUCACGGGGAUAAGUGAGUAACGGGUCGCAGCCCAGAUCAAAAAGAGAAGAAGAUAGUAAAUACAUCUUUUGGAAAAGUUUACGAGAUUUGAUCUUGGCACAUCCGGAUAUGAAGAAAAGGGUCAAUAUCUUCACUUUAAGCAUUUAUGGGUUGGUUAUUUUCCCCAAAGUACUAGGGCAUAUAGAUGAUGUCUUUCAGAUUUAUUUAACUGACUUAAUAAAAUGGUCACGUCAGUCCCUGCAAUUUUAGCCGAAACUUUCAGAUCUUUGAGUGCAUGCCGAAGAGCAGGUGAAAGAAGGUUUAUCGAGUAUGCGCAACUUUUGCUAGCCUGGUUGUUUCACAGUUAAUUUUAGAAAGUAGAAAAAAUCUCUUACCGAGUAUUCUCUGAGAACUAUUAUCCGUUGAAAGAAUUCGUGGCUACGCCAAAGCGAAACAACAUUUCAGAGGAGACAUGGAUGACAAUUCUCCUGAAUCUCCAAGUUAAAGAUGUUGAAUGGAAGAUCCCUUAAAUGAUCCUUGAUGAGAUUUUGUAAUGAUGUGAAGACUUCGACUGGGUUCCUCUACUAGGAAUAUGGAGAGCUAUCGGAUAUGCUCCUCUACUUGUGUUGAGGCUGUAUAGAUUAAGGUAGUUCAUAUCGGCAAUGUAAGGGUUGGCUCAGUGCGAAUUUGCAUAAAAGGGUGAUAAUUAAAAGAAGAAGGUUCGUGAAAUAUCUAACGCUUGAAACCAACCCACAGAAUGAAAAGAUUUGUCGCAAAUUCCAUGAAAAUCCCCGAAUAUGAUUGGUGGUGGGGUAAAAGAGUCAAUAACAAUGUCCUUGUUUCAAAUCAAGAAAACACUCAACCAAUAAAAAAACGCCUACAAGUGAUCCCGUCUGAGUUGAAAAUCAUAAAGCAAGACUUCGAAAAGAGAAGUUCGAAACUGGAGAAAAAGAUAAAACAAUUGGAAGAGGAAAAGAUGCGUCUAGGAUUAGACGUCAACAUCCAGAAGUUAGAGGCUGAGAAGAUGAGAAAAUGAAAAACUAAGACUGAGGAAUUUAUAUGCUUAGAACCUGUUUUUACAGCAAAUUGUCACUUCUAGAAUUAGGCCUUGAUGUAAACAAUAAUAAGCUGUAUACAGCACUCUAUCUAGUAAUUUUGAGUAAACAAUGUCAAACUAGUAGAACUUGUUAUAUAUCCUGUUCCAUUUUAACCUGUAUUUAUUUAUAACUACAAUUCAGUAUUUUCAAGUUUGAGUUGGAUUUUUUUUAACACAGCAAGAUUACAAGCUAAUUCUUUUUUAUUUGAAAAGCAUAUGAAGUAUAAACUUCUUAAAAUGUAGACCUAUAUGCCAUUCAUGUAUUUGUCAUUCAUAUUAUGAGUAUUUUAAGGUAAAGAUCAUAUUUAUUUUUUACCAAAGCGUAACAUAUUGUCUGCUCAAAUAUUAAGUUGCAAAAUCACAUCCUUUUAAAAUCAAAACCAUGGAGAAAUUCUCUACAAAAGUUUUUCAACAAAAUUAAAAUGAUCAGCAAAAACUCCUAGAAGCAUAAAAAAACAAGACAUUCAUGGACUAUUGUUCUUCGUUCAAGCUCCAACAACCUCUGCAGGAGCCUCAGCCAUUGUCUCAUCAGCAGGCCUCUCUAGUUUCACACCAACAUCCUCUGAGUAGUCACCAUGAACCUAAAUGAAUAAAGAAAACAACAAAAUUAAGAAAUUAACCAGGCAAGCUCCAUGGGAUAAUAAUUUUAUUGAAAAGUAUGAGAAUAGAUGACAGAAACUUACCUCCAUCAACUUCCCAAGAUCAAACUUGGGAGCCUUCAAGAUUUUGACCUUACGAAUAAACACAUUCUGCAAAGGAUAGAUGCUAGAUGUUGCCUUCUCGAUUUCUUUUCCAAUCAUCUCAGGGAUGAACUUUUGAACCAGUUCCUUCAAAUCACAAGAUGUUGCCUGGGCAGUCAUUAUUUCCCUCAUCUUUCGGCGUAUCUGAAAAACAUUAAUUUCACUUGGUCAUCAUGGGAUUGACAAAUUCACAAAAAGCACACAAACACUGCAAACAGUCACAAGUACCGGGGUAGUUUACCUGUCUAAUCUGGCUGGACUGAGCGUAACAAGUCCUUUUAACCUGGUUUGGGCGUCUCUUAGUGAAUCCAAUGCAGAACAUUCUCAAAGUGUAAUUGUCAGUUGUCUUCACGUCAACAUGAGCUUCAAUCAGGGUUUGCCAUUUACGCAC
rnacentral:lncRNA from 1 species